AUACGGAGGGUGCAAGCGUUAAUCGGAAUUACUGGGCGUAAAGCGCGCGUAGGCGGUUUGGUAAGUCGGAUGUGAAAGCCCUGGGCUCAACCUAGGAACUGCAUUCAAAACUAUUUAACUAGAGUACGAGAGAGGAGAGUAGAAUUUCUGGUGUAGCGGUGAAAUGCGUAGAUAUCAGAAGGAAUACCAAUGGCGAAGGCAGCUCUCUGGAUCGUCACUGACGCUAAGGUGCGAAAGCGUGGGUAGCAAACAGGAUUAGAUACCCCAGUAGUCC
rnacentral:rRNA from 1 species